GACGAACGCUGGCGGCGUGCUUAACACAUGCAAGUCGAACGGAAAGGCCCUGCUUGCAGGGUACUCGAGUGGCGAACGGGUGAGUAACACGUGGGUGAUCUGCCCUGCACUUCGGGAUAAGCCUGGGAAACUGGGUCUAAUACCGGAUAGGAGCCAUUUUUAGGGUGAUGGUUGGAAAGUUUUUUCGGUGUAGGAUGAGCUCGCGGCCUAUCAGCUUGUUGGUGGGGUAAUGGCCUACCAAGGCGGCGACGGGUAGCCGGCCUGGGAGGGUGGACGGCCACAUUGGGACUGGGAUACGGCCCAGACUCCUACGGGGGGCAGCAGUGGGGAAUAUUGCACAAUGGGCGCAAGCCUGAUGCAGCGACGCCGCGUGGGGGAUGACGGCCUUCGGGUUGUAAACUCCUUUCGCUAGGGACGAAGCUGUUUGUGACGGUACCUAGAUAAGAAGCACCGGCUAACUACGUG
rnacentral:rRNA from 1 species